CCCACUUGAUGGCGCCACAGCUGUAAAGUUUCCACAGGUUGGUGGAGCUUUUUCAGUUUAUCUGAUGCAGAUGGUGCUUUGCCACUAACUGAAGACUGUCACACGGAUGCAGGUACAAGACGUAAAGAUGAGGGAUACAGGACGCAUAAGAAACAAAACUUUACACAGUAAUUAUCUCAUUAUUUUCCACUUAAGCCAUUCAUCAUACACUGUUAGACAUUUCUGUAAUUUAGACAGUAUUUUAUCGUAUAUCACAGAGUACAAUACAAUUACAGCGCACCACUGUAUUUACUUUUGGCGCUAACAGGUGUUUUCUUCAUUUAACAUGUGCAUUUUUUACACUCCUGAGUUGAAAGUGAUGCUUCCCUCGGUUUGACAGCUGCUGUUGGAGUUCAUAUUGAUGAAAAGGCUUUUUCAAGACAGCAAAGGUUCCUUGUUAGAAUAAAUCCAGAUGAUUUGUGCUACUAAAACCAGAGUGGAGACCAGAGAAAGGGUGAAGAGAAAGACAACAGAACAAAAGUGUAAUUCUUUCUCUGUCAUCUACCUGAAUUUAAAUGGAAGACCUGAGAUUAGUAAGUUAACUGUACUGUACUGCAUUGUAAGUUUUGUUAAAAGGCCAUGUUACGAUGUACUUUACAAGUUUUAACAGUGAAUGUACUUGAACGUUUUAAUAUACAAUAUUAUCAGACAGUUCAGUCAGUGAUAUAAUUAUUUGCAAUGUUUUAAAUAAACUUCCAUAUUUUGUAGGGAUUUAUAGUAGCAAUUACUGCAAAUUUAAAAUACAGUAAUGAUAAGUGUUGAAUUACAGUAACUCACUGGCAACAGUGAGUUACUGUAAAAACCUUGAGAAAUGUCUAACAGUAUAGCCGGCGUCAGGAAGUGUCAGCUUGAAUGAAUCAGCAGCUACAUUUUGUCACCUCUGACUCUUAUUUCACCACUGGAGACAAAGACUGAACUGAAGGAUUAGUCACCAAAAAGUGUGACAUGAUGAAAACACACAAAGCCAUCGACUAGAAAGGGUUUUAGCACAUUCAUGUCGGUGACGGGGUCAAAAAGAGACAACCGAGGACUCAUCAUACUUUGGAAACCAGAGAACGAGUCUGACUUUGCCGUCUAAUUCUGUGACUCUGCUCAGAGAAUCAGAGUCAGACCGUGUGCUCGUCUGUGGACACUGGAAGAGCAGUCAAACACCAGCUUAUACAGAUAAUAAGAAACAAGUUCAGAUGCCAUGACUCAGGUUCCACAUGACCGGGAUGACUGGGAAACUUCCAGAUCAUCAGACAUCAGAGAAGUAUUGGUUUGUCUCCAGGACAGCAGAGCAAACUGAUAAAGGCUGCGAUGAGGCCAAUAGGCGGGUGCUUCAACGUUUAACCGAAUGUACAGGACUCUGCAGCACAGCUGUAAAGAUACACAGCAUCGCUAAACAGGAAAUGUGACACACGCUGAACGACUCCACCGGCCGAAGGGCCAACACGCUGCAGCUGCUUUCGGUCUAAGCUGCCCUUUCAUUAUUUCAUCCUCUAAGCUAGUUGUCUCAGGGAUACACUGCUUAACACAAAUACACUCACUGAUGUUUGCAGUUCUUCAGAAGGAGCCAGAAGCAGCAACUGAGGCUCUCACCUUCAUGAGUAAUGAUGCACAUGACCCAGUGGCGCGACUGAAGCUUAUUUAGCAUAAGUACUUCCUUUUCUGGUGCAACUUCAAGCAGAUAUUAGAAAAGAGGCAGGAAGUAACUUUGGGGUUUCAAAGAAAAUUUCAUCCUUUCUGGCUGAUGUGAAGCCACAAAAUGUCCGCUGUACAAUGGCAAUUGUACACACAAAGACACACAAACGCUGGUCUGGAUCAAUUUAACUCAAAAUAAAAGAAUACAUUUUCUAUUCACCAGCAUAAUGUAAGUAAAACUUAGAAUAACCUCCAGAAACCGAACGGCUGUUCUAAACAGACUAAAACUCUGAACUCAACCAGCAGAUUAUGAGCUUAAAUAUAAAAAUAAAGAUGUGUUUGACAUGGA